UGCUCCUGCCCACCAUGCUAUUCAAUGGCAGUAAGUUCCACACUGUCAUUUUUGUGUUGUUAAUGAAUUCCAGUUGCAGUGGAUACUGAAGGCUCAAAUUUCCUCAGCUCAGUGGCUUUCAAGAUCCUCAGCUGUAUCAGUGGCUUGUGUCUUGAGAGUGGAUAACCAGGAAGACACUGGCUUUUUGUGUACAGCAGGAGCAGCUGAGAUCCAGAUUCAAGCACACCUAUGUGAAAGCUGUAGUCUCACCCAGUCAUAGCAGUGGUGUUUUGGAUUGGUUGGGUUUGUAAUGGGUCGGGGAGCAACCUUGGCAGCACAUUCCCACUGGUGAGUUUUUGAGAUACUGAAGUCUUUCUGGAAAAAAGCUUGUUGAUUUACUUUCUACUUUCUUCUCAGCUGGCAUAAAGACUCAUUUUACUAAAAUACCAGUUAAACCGAGCGUUCGUUAAUUUCAGAAAUCUGUCAGCCUCGAUAACAUUGCUUUUCUGUUUCCUGAGAAUACCUUGAAGUAACUGGCUUUGCUACUCCAAAGCAGAGCAGCUGUUGCAUGUAUGUGUUGUAUUUGCAUUGUAUGGCAGGGUAUUUGAUAUUAAUUUUAAAAAGUGAAAAAUCAGAGGCAACAGCGGACUGACUUUCACCUAGUGGUUACAGGAACUAUUGUGUUUCGCUGUUGAGAGAGAGCAGAGGAAAAUUCACACAUGACUGAGAGCUGGAGAAGCCUCUGAGAGCUGGGAGCUGAAGCCUCCAAUUAUGUAAAAUGGCUUGUGAAGGGUGAAAUUGCUUGGAGCUGAUCAAUUUUUAUUUAGGUGUCAGCGCUUUUUAAAAUCUAUGGAUUUUUUUAAACAAACUCUAAGGGACGAUAGAAGGAGGGUGAUGCUAGUUAACUGGUUAUUAGUUAUUUUAUGGCAGUCAGAUAACUAGUUAACCAGUUAUUCUGGGAGAUGCAGAUGGCUUGGGAUUUGAUGAGGUAUCAGUAGUCUGUGUUGUUGAAUCAUAAAGAGCACUCAACAGGCAGUUGGGCUGGGGGCAUCAUGCACCAGCUGCAAACUCAGCCCCAAGGGGGCCUUAGAAGGGCUGAGGACCUUCCCCUCCUCUGCCACGUGUGGGAGAGACCCCCAUUCCUAACUCAUAAGCAG
rnacentral:lncRNA from 1 species